UUUUGAGAUGAAAAAGUGAAGUAUACCCACCCACUUCUCCUUCUUCUUCUACUCCCUUGACCAUCAACCUCAAACUCUGAAACCACCACAAAAAAAUUAAACAUUAAAUCUGAAUUUUAAUGCUUCAUCUUUUAAUCCGAUUGUUCCAACCGUACCAACAAAACAUUUCCAACUUGUUAUCAAUUUUCACUUCUAAACCCUAAAUCGCAUUAAGACUUCAAUGCCAUUAAAAUUAAAUCAAAAUUGGUCCAUAUGUUCUGAGUUUCCUCAACCUCUAUGAUGAAAAAAUCAUUUUACGAACCCUAGAUACUAAAAUUUGUUACGGAUAUGGGAUUUCGAAAUUGAAGGAGUCGAUUUUAGAGGGCACAAGAAGAAAAGGAUAAUAGCAGCAAGUGGUGGCGGCGGUGGUUCUUAUUGAAUUUCAUCAGAAAAAGAUGAACAUUCUGAUAAUUUAUCGUAUGAGUUUUCUAUAAUGAUUACUGGUUUUUUUGGAAUAUCUUGGUGUAGUUAAUAAUCUAAUGAGGGAAAACAAAGAUGGUAAAGAUAAAAUCGUACCUUAAUAGCCUGUGAAACAGAAAGUAUCCCAAACAGAUCUGAAGAAAGUCUCCAACAGGUCUUGGAACAAACAGGGCGACAACCUAUAGGAACCCAGACAACAAUGUGAAAAGGCAGCGUAGAGAUUUCUAGUUCAGAAAGGUAGAUAAAAUAAGAAGAAAACUUCUGCGUUUUGCAAAGGUAGAUCUCUAAAUUAAGGGUGGGAAAAGUAACUUGUUCAUGCAUAAAUGUUUUGUAUUGAAACUUGCUUACCAUUAUCUCUCCAAGAGCUCCAAGUUAUUGAUUUUUUUCUUCUUGCUGCGGAAAACACCAAAUCAAGUCGAUGCUGAAAGGGAACUCCUAGGUAAAACGAUCAAGGUUCGGUUGCCUGAUUAUCAAGCAUAAAAUUCUGGUUCGUAGAUUGUGUGAACUGUAAUAGAUAUACCUGUAGGAUCAGAAUCUCUCAACAAUAAUGUCUCAGCAAAAUUAUUAAUGACACAGCACAAUAGCGUCGCAGAACAAUUUCAGGAAGAAUAUAACAAACGACGUCAGCUAGGAUCAUGAGAAAGGUGUAAUAGUCCUGCAAAAAUUAGAGAGCUUGCGAAAUUAACAUUUGUAAGGUUGCGAAAAUGUUGCAAACCAUAUCCGAAAAUAAAGGACAGAUUAGCUGUCAUCCACUAUGUAUUUCCUUAUAAAUAGUCGUUCAAGUUGUAAAAAGAAGAGAGAGAUUUUUUUGUGUAAGAAACAAGUAAACAGAAGAGAGAAAGUUUAGAGCAGAGAUCAUUCUUUAA